rnacentral:tRNA from 1 species
GGUGGCUCAGUGGUAGAGCACUUGCCUUGCAUGCAUGUGGUCCUGGGUUCGAUUCCCCAGCACCA